GACGAAGGUGGCGAGCGUUGUUCGGAAUCACUGGGCAUAAAGCGCACGUAGGCGGCGACGUAAGUUGGGUGUGAAAUCCCUCGGCCCAACCGAGGAACUGCGCCCAGUACUGCGUUGCUUGAGGAUCCAAGGGGUGCAUGGAAUUCCCGGUGGAGCGGUGAAAUGCGUUGAUAUCGGGAGGAACUCCGGCGGCGAAAGCGGUGCACUGGUGGAUUACUGACGCUGAGGUGCGAAGGCCAGGGGAGCAAAGCGGG
rnacentral:rRNA from 1 species